CAAACAACUCUCGGCAACGGAUAUCUCGGUUCUCGCUUCGAUAAAAAACGUGGCGAAUUGCGAUACUUGGGGUGAAUUGCGAAAUCCCUGGAACCAUGGAGUCUUUGAACGAAAGUUGCGCCCAAAGCCUUUAGGCCAAGGGCACGUCUGCCUGGGCGUCACGC
rnacentral:rRNA from 1 species